GCUCGGCGUCCUGUGAUUGGUCCCGAGGACGCCGGAGGCCCAGCCAAUAGACAGCUGCUUCUUUCCCGGCGCAGGAGGCGGGCCGCGGCCGUGACAUCAGCAGCGUGCGUCCUGAUUGUGAGGCCGCGCGCGCUCCCGCGACGCGUCCUCGGCGUUGGCGAGUGUCCUGAAGUGCAGAAGCUUCUCUAUGUGCUCAGCACUGGAGUUGGAUCCAGUCUUGACAGUGGAAGCUUUUGGAGUCCAGGUGAACCCCAUAUUAUAGCGGUCAAUCCCAGUGGCAGAAGGAAUGUAUGAGGUGCUUUUCUCACUGCUGUGAAUCAACUAACUGACAAGAAACAGAGUUAAGGAAGUAAGGGUUUAUUUUGGCUCUCAGUUUGAGGUGACACCCCAUCAUAAUGAAUUCAUGGGAGCAGGAACCUGGGGUAGCUGGUCACAUUGCACCCACAGAAUCCACAGGAAGUUCCGGUGCCGCACUCACUUCCUCCUUUUUCCCCUGGGACUCCAUCCCAUGGAAUGGUGCCACCCAUAGUUAAGCCCACAGGCUGGUGCUGCCCACAUUCAGGGUGGUUUUUCCCUCCUCAGUGGAAGAUCUCCGGGAAUACUCUCAAAGAUACAACCAGAGGUGUGUCUCCUAGGCGAUUCCAAAUCCAGUCAAGUGCACAAUGAAGAGUGAUAGAAGAGGAGUCCUGUGUGGAGAGCUUCGAUGCGCCUCGCCUUAAAGAUGGCGCCGGUUUCCGCCUUCCACCAUCCGGAGGCUGGAUCUUCCCACAGUUCUGUAGCAGCAACAUGAAGCCUCUUUCCUUAGGUAAUUAUUUCUUCACUGCAACUCAUGGAUCCACACACGCUAGUAUUGAAAGGGCUCCCACAUCCGCGCUGGACUGAUUGUAGCUUGGAAAGACCAAAAAAGAAAAUCAAUCAUAAUGUGGACAUUAAAAAAUCCUUGAACAUUCUGAAACUCAUGAAGAGUUGAAGAGACCUUGGCUGCUAGAUGACCUGUGCGGUUUCCAUUGGUGGAGGAGCCUUGCCUUGCCCCCCUCCCCCAAAGGUAUCAAGGUCAAGGUUUGGCAUAAUGGCUGCCAAGAGGUGGCCUCUGCCAAACCGCCUGAUGUGUGCAAGCCGCGCCCCUCACAGUCCCAGCACAGGCACUAGGAGUUUUCCAGAACAAGCUUUUCCGGAGACACAGGAAGAAGGAAGUGACAGGUGACUGGCCCAGUUCAGAAGACAUUGGUGGAACUAUUAUCGACGGCUCCUGUCAAAGACGCAAUCAAGUCCCCGCAGGACUUUUUUUUGCGGGGGAGAAGGGAACGGGAAUUUGAGACAGAGUUUCUCUGUGCAGCCCUGGUUAUCCUAGAACUCUGUAGAACAGGAUGGCCUCGAAUUCACAGAAUUUCUCCUGCCUCUGCCUCCCAAGUGCUGGGAUUAAAGGUGGGCGCCACCACCGCCCAACUUCCCUGCCUGGCGUUUAAGAAGUCAAGAAAAUGCACUUGCUAUCUCCCCAGCACUGAGGUUGCACAUGCAUUUUGGCACGCCUGGCUUUUCCACGUAGAUUUGGGUGGUUCUAACUCAAGUCCUCAUAUCUUCACAGCAAGCAUUUGACUGAGUGAGCGUCUCCCUGGCUGCAUGGGAUUUUUGGUUUUUAAAUUCAGGACUGGGAAUUUUGCUCAGAUACAGCACUUGCUUUGCAAGUGUUAAUGACCUGAGUUGCAUCUCUAGCAGAGAUAGAGGUUGGGAGUGGAGGGUGGGGGUUGGAGGAAGGGAAUAAGAGGGAUUAAUAUCCUUCCUGCUGGCAUAUUUAAACAUUUUUAAAAAGAUUUAUUUACUAUGUAUCCCUGCAGGCCAGAAGAGGAUACCAGAUCUCAUUACAGAUGGUUGUGAACCAUCAUGUGGUUGCUGGAAAUUGAACUCAGGACCUCUGGAAGACCAGCUAGUGUUCUUAACCAUUGAGCCAUCUCUCCAGCCCCUAAACAUUUUAUUUGAAAGAAAGCAAACUUCAUGGUGCUGGAGCCUGGACAUAGAGCCUGCUAGUGGGAGGCUCUGUCUCCCUUCAAGUCAGGAAGUUGUGUACUCAGCCAUCUGCAUCAUAUUUACUCUUCUCAGGAACAGAGCAAGCAUCUGCCUGUCCUUUAGAAAGAGAACAUAGGGGUGUCAAACAACAAGCAUGGCAGACAUUUGCUGAUGAAAUGCACGUGUCCAGAGGUGAAGCUACAGAAGCUGGGUCAAGAUGAGCAGGAUUUCUCAGAAGUAUUUUCUAUACCAAGUACCAAAUAGCAUUGGGUUUCCAAAGACACUGAGGCUUGAAAAAUAUGACUUUGCCCCUGGAAAGGUCCCUGUUUGCUGGCUUGGCUUGGGUGUUUGUAGCCUCCUCCCCUUGGACAGGGGGAGCAAAAAGAACUAAUGAGAUACCCACAGACGUCAUGGUCAGGCAGCUUUGGAUGCUUCCAGUCUGACUCACUUCAUCUUAUACACCUUGGGCUACUGUGGACUCCACUGCCAUCACCAUGUAGCUCACAUAAUAACACCUGUGGGUUGAAGAAAAAUGCCCACACAGAGUCUAAUAGACACUGGGUGUGUCCAGUGUGGCAGAGGCUAUUGUCACUGGGGCCUGGAUUCUUGCCAUUAGCCUGACCUGUUCUGAGGGCUGGGAUGCUGACGCUCUAUCAGGUUGUGCUCUCUAAAGAGAAUGGCAUGUCAAGUCAUAAGAGCAGCUGAAUGAAGAGCCUGUUAUAACCAGCCUGAAGGCUCUCUCAGGUUUCAGCCAGCCCCCAGGUAAGACAGAGGCAACAUAGAGACACCCAAAGGCCACUAACCCUCUCACCACAUCAUGCCCUUAAAUCACUGUGAAGACAGAUGGGCCAUCUCAACCUUGCCUGCUCACCAGGAUCCCCUCGUGAGCACUGAAACAAUACUAGGGGCCCAGCUUGCCUAGACCAGUCAGAUCAGGAAUUCUAGUGGGGGAGAUUUGAUGGAGCUAAAGCUGGAUGGAGCUAAAGUGGAUUAGGAAGGACAGCCUUGUUGAAGAACUACUGAAUAUAUUCCAUUGCCAUGCUGGUAUCAAACUCAAGUCAUGGAGCUUGCUUGGCAAACUUUCUUACACCAUAAAUCAUCUCCCAGGCCAGGAUUCAAAAGACCUUAUCUCAACAAAACAGAAAACAAAGCAAACAAAACAAAAGCACUCAUCCUCAUGACAUUUACAAGAAUAUUCUCUGCACCCCACCCCAAGUACAGUGCAAAAGAAACCUUCCAAUUUAAGAAAAAAAAUUGGGAGCUGGACAGAUAGCUCAAUGGUUAAGAGCCCAUCUGUUCUUGCAGAGGACCCAAGUUUGGGUCCCAGCACCCAUGAAAGGGAAGCUCACAAGUUCUAGUAACUCUGGUUCCAGAGGAUCUGAAGUCCCUUCUGGCCUCCAUGGGUACCUGAACACAAGUGGAAUACACACAGAGAGAUAUACAUAAAUAAAAAUA